rnacentral:rRNA from 1 species
UACAUGGGGUGCAAACGUUGCUCGGAAUUAUUGGGCGUAAAGCGCACGUAGGCGGUUCGUUAAGUCGGAUGUGAAAGCCCUCGGCUCAACUGAGGAAGUGCACCCGAAACUGGCGAGCUUGAGUACGAAAGAGGAUCGCGGAAUUCCCGGUGUAGAGGUGAAAUUCGUAGAGAUCGGGAGGAACACCAGUGGCGAAGGCGGCCGGCUGGGGGUGCCCUGACGCUGAGGCGCGAAAGCGUGGGGAGCGAACCGG